rnacentral:rRNA from 1 species
AGGACGAACGCUGGCGGCGCGCUUAAUACAUGCAAGUCGAGCGAGAACCAGGGUUUCGGCUCUGGGGACAGCGGCGAACGGGUGAGUAACACGUGGGUAAUCAACCCCCGACACCGGGAUAGCCCAGGGAAACUUGGAUUAAUACCGGAUACCCCGUCCGGCUCUCGAGCCGGCCGGAAAAGGGUAGCUUCGGCCUCUGGUCGGGGACGAGCCCGCGGCGGAUUAGCUUGUUGGUGAGGUAAAGGCUCACCAAGGCGACGAUCCGUAGCUGGUCUGAGAGGACGAUCAGCCACACUGGGACUGAGACACGGCCCAGACUCCUACGGGAGGCAGCAGUAGGGAAUCUUGCGCAAUGGGCGAAAGCCUGACGCAGCGACGCCGCGUGAGGGAAGAAGGCCUUCGGGUUGUAAACCCCUUUCAGGAGGGACGAAAAUGACGGUACCUCCAGAAGAAGCCCCGGCAACUACGCGCCAGCAGCCGC